GUAAUAAGAGUUAAACAGAAAAGGAUCCAGAUGUGUAGCUGGUGAUCGUAAAUGAUUUAAACAUCUUUUCUUUUGGUGUUUCAACCUGGAUUGGGGCUAUGUGAAGUGUGGAUGGAAAUUUAUCUUGUAAAGUAAAAAUCUAGGUGAUAACAAAAAGGACAAUGUAGUUAAUCUAAAGCACAAAUGUAUAUUUUUGCUUAAUUUUUGGUGCAACAUAACC
rnacentral:lncRNA from 1 species